AGAGUUUGAUCCUGGCUCAGGAUGAACGCUAGCGACAGGCUUAACACAUGCAAGUCGAGGGGCAGCAUGGUAGGUAGCAAUACUUAUUGAUGGCGACCGGCGCACGGGUGAGUAACGCGUAUGCAACUUACCUAUCAGAGGGGGAUAGCCCGGCGAAAGUCGGAUUAAUACUCCAUAAAACAGGGGUCCCGCAUGGGGCUAUUUGUUAAAGAUUCAUCGCUGAUAGAUAGGCAUGCGUUCCAUUAGGCAGUUGGCGGGGUAACGGCCCACCAAACCGACGAUGGAUAGGGGUUCUGAGAGGAAGGUCCCCCACAUUGGUACUGAGACACGGACCAAACUCCUACGGGAGGCAGCAGUGAGGAAUAUUGGUCAAUGGCCGAGAGGCUGAACCAGCCAAGUCGCGUGAAGGAUGAAGGAUCUAUGGUUUGUAAACUUCUUUUAUAGGGGAAUAAAGUGUGGGACGUGUUCCAUUUUGUAUGUACCCUAUGAAUAAGCAUCGGCUAACUCCGUGCCAGCAGCCGCGGUAAUACGGAGGAUGCGAGCGUUAUCCGGAUUUAUUGGGUUUAAAGGGUGCGUAGGUGGUAAUUUAAGUCAGCGGUGAAAGUUUGUGGCUCAACCAUAAAAUUGCCGUUGAAACUGGGUUACUUGAGUGUGUUUGAGGUAGGCGGAAUGCGUGGUGUAGCGGUGAAAUGCAUAGAUAUCACGCAGAACUCCAAUUGCGAAGGCAGCUUACUAAACCAUAACUGACACUGAAGCACGAAAGCGUGGGUAUCAAACAGGAUUAGAUACCCUGGUAGUCCACGCAGUAAACGAUGAUUACUAGGAGUUUGCGAUAGACAGUAAGCUCUACAGCGAAAGCGUUAAGUAAUCCACCUGGGGAGUACGCCGGCAACGGUGAAACUCAAAGGAAUUGACGGGGGCCC
rnacentral:rRNA from 1 species